CUACAGCCUCAGAUCUAUGACAACUUCAUGCUUUUGUCUGUAGCUGUGUACAUUUUGGCAAGUCCAAAAUUUUGUAAGGGGAUGAAUGACCUUGCAAAUACUCUGUUGCUUUCAUUUGUUAAACACUUUAGCCAGCUUUACGGUGAAGAGUUUUUGGUUUACAAUAUUCAUGGCCUGGUGCACCUCAGUGAAGAUGUCAAAAUCCAUGGCAAUCUAGAUCUUAUCUCAGGAUUUCCCUUUGAAAAUUUCUUAGGAAAACUCAAAAAACUGGUUAGAGGGCCUUGCAAUCCUUUGACUCAGGUGAUGCGUAGAUUGUCAGAGAUAGAAAAUAGCAACUACAGUUGUGAUGUUGAAGAGGCAAUUCAAAAAUUGGAUAAAGAACAUACAGAUGGGCCAGUACCAGAGUGCUUCUCACAACAAGCUCGUCAAUUUAAAGUUCUUGCAAUUGAUGGUAUAGUUGUGAAGCUCAAUGAGAGAGAUUCUUGUGUCAAAAUCGACAAUAAGUUGGUUUUAGUCCACAACAUUGUUGAGGACAUAGGUGCAGUAUACCUUGUGGGCAAUGAAUAUAAACAGGUGGAACACUUCUUUAAAUAUCCUAUUGAUUCAAAAGAAUUGGGAAUUUAUGUGGUUUCCAACCUCUCCACAAAUGUUAAGUGUUUCAUGACUGGAAAGAAACUGCAGAAGUAUGUGAGAUUGCCAUUCCGAAACAGAUUUUUUGUUGUUGUUCCACUCCUGCAUCAAGAGAAAUAACUCUGAAGUUGCUUUUGUAUAAUACUUGGCUGAAGAAUAUAAUUCUUGUCUCUUUAGAUGUUUCAUAUUGUUGUCUUUGACAAGACAAAUGAGGUUGAAGUUGUGCCAUCAGUCUGGAUUAAAAAUGGAGAGUGCAUGUGGCCUUCAAAUAAAGGUGAUAUAACAAAAGCAGUAAAAUCGCAGGAGAGCCCUGGAGAUGACUGGAAGCCCCAUAAGGCCAGAAUUAUUUUCACAUCAUAUGACUACAAGGAAGCUAGACGUAAACUACCUCUAGCUGUUGAUUAUACUGACAUUGAUCAGACCGAUGGAGGGAACUCACCGAUUACAUUUCAAA